rnacentral:rRNA from 1 species
CCCUUAGAUGUUCUGGGCUGCACGCGCGCUACACUGUCGGAUUCAGCGAGUCAUAUCCUUAACCGAAAGGUUUGGGUAAUCUUUUGAAAGUCCGACGUGAUGGGGAUUGAUCAUUGCAAUUAUUGAUCAUGAACGAGGAAUUCCUAGUAAGCGCGAGUCAUCAGCUCGCGUUGAUUACGUCCCUGCCCUUUGUACACACCGCCCGUCGCUACUACCGAUUGAAUGGUUUAGUGAGAUCUUCGGAUUGGCGCCUACGCGGCUUCUCCGAGGCCACGCUGGAUGCCGAAAAGUUGCUCAAACUGUAUCAUUUAGAGGAAGUAAAAGUCGUAACA